GGCUAAAGUUGUAGUGGUGUUUCAAAUAAGAAACUAGUGUAGCACUCCAUUCUAAACCAAAAGGAGUCUAUGGAGAGGUUGAAGAAAUCUACUAAAGACUUUGUUUGUAUGCAUAGAGAAUUUCAGUCUAAAGCCUAUGAGUGUUUGUAGUAUACUUUUUUUGGUAAAUUUCUUAGAAAGGUGAUGAUGCCCCAGAUCAAAUCAAACUUGCCUUGGUUGAUUUAUAGAAAGGGUUCAACACCUUCUCGAUUACCAAUAUGACAAAUGGAUUUUGUUUUAUCAAAUGUCAUUCAUUGGAAAUUUUUUAUAAAGUGUUAUGGGAAGGGCCUUGGACCAUAGGGGGACUAAUUCUUAAACUCACUCCUUAGAAGGAACAUUUCCAGCAACUUUUUGAAAAGUUAAAUCUAGCAGCCAUUUCAAUCCAAUUUCACCAUUUACCUAUAUAGGUCCUUGGAGUUGGAAACUCUAGAAACUACUGAAGCUCAAUUUAAAAGAUUUUAAAGAUUGAUGGUUAUACUUUAAACGCCUCUGGGACUUAAUUAGCCAAGAUUUGUGUAGGGCUUGAUUUGGCUAAGCCUUUCAAGGGAGGGUGUUAUAUUGGAGAUGAGGAAAAAAAAGUUAUGGUUGCAAUACUUUACAAAAUCCUCCCAAUUUCUUACUAUAAUUGUCAGCAAUAUGGUAGCUAACUAAGAUCAAAUAACCUACAAUCCAAAAGGUGGAGAGGUGAAUUGUGAUGGUUUCGCAUCUGUCAAGCACCAAAGUUUACAAGCCAUGUAAAUGGAUUUGGUUUGUGAAUAAGUUGAAGUUCCUUUAAUUCCGGCCUCUGUUGUACCAUUGCAAACCAAGUUGGAGUUGAUGUAAGAAUCUAAUAGCAGCUUUGGACCUUGGAUAGUUGUUUAGCAUCGUUAUGGAUGAGAACAUUACUUAGGACCUAGCAUUGCUCCUCAGUAGGGCAUGUGGUUGCAUAACCUCAUCGAACACAUGCCCUUCACACCGUGAUUCACUACAUGUGAUGAUUUCUGGAGAUGAUAAAGCUACACGUGGAUGGAAAGGAUUACACCAUAGGGAUGGCUUGGAUUGUCUAGGGAAUGUUUUCCUUUUUUGUGGAUUAUUUUGUUAAUGGAGACAUUGACGAUGGAGAGAACAAGGUAAAGGAUUUAGAAUUAAUAAAGUUACAGGUAGAUCCGUUAAGGAUCUAUUCUCUAUUCCAAAAUCUUAUUUCUAUCGGUCCAAAAAUCCUCUAUAGCCUCUCUUACUCAACCCUAAGGAAAUAAAAGAGUACUUCUGCUUCCUCGUCUUUCCAAAAUAAGAUAAUAUGUAGGAAUGACCAUGGACGAGGGAGUCCCUCCACACUUAUUCCAUCAUCCCAGGCUGGGGUCCUCGUCCCUAUCCCAAUUGGGCAAUCAGGGAGGGAAAGCCCAUACUCCUUGCCCUACCCUCAUAAUUUAAAAAACAUAAAAACAAAAAAAUUUGAGGACUUGGAUAAAUUUUAAAUUAAACAAGCAUGGAGUAAAAAGUCGUCAAAUUCAUCUAAAGCACCACGAGCUCUAAUCAAGAAAUUUAGAAAGAGUUGGCAAAUGCUUGUGCAACGGAGAUGGCACGUGCUCUUGUUGAUGAUAUUGGGGAUAACUAUUUUUUCCUUAUGAUUGAUGAUCUACUGGGAUGUCUUAGUGAAGCAACAAAUGAGAGUUGUUUUGCCAUAUAUGAUAGGGUCACCUCGGCCUUUUAUUUCAUUGAAGAAUGCCAUUAAUUGCCUAUUUGGCAAACACGAGUUAUCUCUUUCAAGGCUGAGGGCACAAGGAUAUGAUGGGGCCUUAAAUAUGAGGGGUGAAUUCUAUGGUUUGAAGGCACUUAUUCUAAGAGAAAAUCUAUAUGCAAGCUAUGUCCAUUGUUUUUCUUACCAACUCCAAUUAGUGAUUAUUAUUAUUGCUAAAGACAAUCGGAUUGUGAGGGAUUUUUGUUUCAAUAUAUUAUUAUGAUUGUUAAUGUGGAUGUAGUGUUGUGCAGAAAGAGAGGCCAACUUCAACAUCAUCACCAUGAUAGCGAAUUUGAUGAGCAAUUGGAGCGGGUAAAGAUAGUGGCAAAAG